rnacentral:rRNA from 1 species
AGAGUUUGAUCCUGGCUCAGGACGAACGCUGGCGGCGUGCUUAACACAUGCAAGUCGAACGGUGAAGCAGAGCUUGCUCUGCGGAUCAGUGGCGAACGGGUGAGUAACACGUGAGUAACCUGCCCUUGACUCUGGGAUAAGCGUUGGAAACGACGUCUAAUACCGGAUAUGACCCGCGAAGGCAUCUUCUGCGGGUGGAAAGAAUUUCGGUCAAGGAUGGACUCGCGGCCUAUCAGCUUGUUGGUGAGGUAAUGGCUCACCAAGGCGACGACGGGUAGCCGGCCUGAGAGGGUGACCGGCCACACUGGGACUGAGACACGGCCCAGACUCCUACGGGAGGCAGCAGUGGGGAAUAUUGCACAAUGGGCGCAAGCCUGAUGCAGCAACGCCGCGUGAGGGACGACGGCCUUCGGGUUGUAAACCUCUUUUAGUAGGGAAGAAGCGAAAGUGACGGUACCUGCAGAAAAAGCACCGGCUAACUACGUGCCAGCAGCCGCGGUAAUACGUAGGGUGCAAGCGUUGUCCGGAAUUAUUGGGCGUAAAGAGCUCGUAGGCGGUUUGUCGCGUCUGCUGUGAAAACUGGAGGCUCAACCUCCAGCUUGCAGUGGGUACGGGCAGACUAGAGUGCGGUAGGGGAGAUUGGAAUUCCUGGUGUAGCGGUGGAAUGCGCGAUAUCAGGAGGAACACCGAUGGCGAAGGCAGAUCUCUGGGCCGUAACUGACGCUGAGGAGCGAAAGCGUGGGGAGCGAACAGGAUUAGAUACCCUAGUAGUCC